rnacentral:rRNA from 1 species
UGGGGGAUAUUGCACAAUGGGGGAAACCCUGAUGCAGCGAUGCCGCGUGGAGGAAGAAGGUUUUCGGAUUGUAAACUCCUGUCGUAAGGGAAGAGAAAGGACUGUACCUUACAAGAAAGCUCCGGCUAACUACGUGCCAGCAGCCGCGGUAAUACGUAGGGAGCGAGCGUUGUCCGGAAUGACUGGGUGUAAAGGGAGCGUAGGCGGGAUGGCAAGUCAGAUGUGAAACCUGAGGGCUCAACCUUCAGACUGCAUUUGAAACUGCUGUUCUUGAGUAGUGCAGAGGUAGGCGGAAUUCCCGGUGUAGCGGUGGAAUGCGUAGAUAUCGGGAGGAACACCAGUGGCGAAGGCGGCCUACUGGGCACCAACUGACGCUGAGGCUCGAAAGUGUGGGUAGCAAACAGGAUUAGAUACCCUGGUAGUCCACACCGUAAACGAUGAUUACUAGGUGUUGGAGGAUUGACCCCUUCAGUGCCGCAGUUAACACAAUAAGUAAUCCACCUGGGGAGUACGACCGCAAGGUUGAAACUCAAAGGAAUUGACGGGGGCCCGCACAAGCAGUGGAGUAUGUGGUUUAAUUCGACGCAACGCGAAGAACCUUACCAAGUCUUGACAUCCCUUGACGAUGCUGGAAACAGCAUUUCUCUUCGGAGCAAGGAGACAGGUGGUGCAUGGUUGUCGUCAGCUCGUGUCGUGAGAUGUUGGGUUAAGUCCCGCAACGAGCGCAACCCUUAUGGUCAGUUACUACGCAAGAGGACUCUGGCCAGACUGCCGUUGACAAAACGGAGGAAGGUGGGGAUGACGUCAAAUCAUCAUGCCCUUUAUGACUUGGGCUACACACGUACUACAAUGGCGUUAAACAAAGAGAAGCAAGACCGCGAGGUGGAGCAAAACUCAGAAACAACGUCCCAGUUCGGACUGCAGGCUGCAACUCGCCUGCACGAAGUCGGAAUUGCUAGUAAUCGUGGAUCAGCAUGCCACGGUGAAUACGUUCCC